UUUUUGAGAUUUUUUAAAAUACGGAAACCGUUCGGGGGUAAACGGACAGAGCUCGCUAAUUCGAGCGGACGAAUUCAAAGCUGUCGAUAGAGGCUGGCCCUCAUUCGGCUGUUUGAUUUUUCGUUCGUUGCGUCUUAGACGUGGAACGUCGCAACUCGUUGGAUUCGUAGCAGAAGGGUCGCGUGCGUUGUUCGACGCGGUCGUCACGUUUUUCGCGACGUAUCGUGUCGAGUCGCUAGCGAUGCCGCGCUUCGAUAGUUCGACGGUAAGCGUAACAGCGUGCGCUUCGAGAUAUUCACGCUCGAAGCGUCGCUCGUUUGCGACGAAUAUUCGGGUCUCUUUCCGACCCGUCUUGAAACACGGACCAAGGAGUCUAACGUACGCGCGAGUCACGGGGUGUCGCGAACCACCAGGUUCGCGGUACGAGUGUAAACCCGAGUAGGCGAAAUGAAGGUGAGCGCGAUCGCUUCGCGAUCGCUGGGAUGACGGCGAUUCCAGCAAACGCUCGUCGACUUUGCGAAGUCGACGCGGAAAGCUCGCAAUCCCGGGGCGUUCAAGAUGGCGCGUCGGUGCGCGGUUCGCCGCGUAUUCGACGACCUAGGGCGCACCCGUAGCGUGUACGUUGGUACCCGAAAGAUGGUGAACUAUGCCCGGCCAGGAUGAAGUCAGGGGAAACCCUGAUGGAGGUCCGUAGCGGUUCUGACGUGCAAAUCGAUCGUCUGAGCUGGGUAUAGGGGCGUNAGAGUAUGACCCCCC
rnacentral:rRNA from 1 species